CGAAGCAACGCGAACGAACUUACCAGGUCUUGACAUCCCUGACAACCAAGAGAUUGGGCGUUCCCCGUCGGGGGACAGGGUGACAGGUGGUGCAUGGUUGUCGUCAGCUCGUGUCGUGAGAUGUUGGGUUAAGUCCCGCAACGAGCGCAACCCUCGCCUCUAGUUGCCAGCAUUCGGUUGGGCACUCUAGAGGGACUGCCGGCGACAAGUCGGAGGAAGGUGGGAUGACGUCAAAUCAUCAUGCCCCUUAUGACCUGGGCUACACACGUGCUACAAUGGGCGGUACAAAGGGCUGCGAACCCGCGAGGGGGAGCGAAUCCCAAAAAGCCGCUCUCAGUUCGGAUUGCAGGCUGCAACUCGCCUGCAUGAAGCCGGAAUCGCUAGUAAUCGCGGAUCAGCAUGCCGCGGUGAAUACGUUCCCGGGCCUU
rnacentral:rRNA from 1 species